AUAGGUUCGGUGUGGAAGCACAGUAAUGUGUGUAGCUAACCGAUACUAAUAGCUCGAUUGAUUUACUUUG
rnacentral:rRNA from 1 species